GAUGAACGCUAGCGGCAGGCCUAAUACAUGCAAGUCGAACGAUAUUUUCCAGCUUGCUGGGAGAGAAAGUGGCGCACGGGUGCGUAACGCGUAUGCAACCUACCUUUAUCAGGGGGAUAGCCCGGAGAAAUCCGGAUUAAUACCGCAUAAAAUCACAGAACGGCAUUGUUCAAUGAUCAAACAUUUAUGGGAUAAAGAUGGGCAUGCGUGUCAUUAGCUAGUUGGCGGGGUAACGGCCCACCAAGGCGACGAUGACUAGGGGAUCUGAGAGGAUGGACCCCCACACUGGUACUGAGACACGGACCAGACUCCUACGGGAGGCAGCAGUAAGGAAUAUUGGUCAAUGGAGGCAACUCUGAACCAGCCAUGCCGCGUGCAGGAAGACUGCCCUAUGGGUUGUAAACUGCUUUUAUCCGGGAAUAAACCUCCGAUCGUGAUCGGAGUUGAAUGUACCGGAAGAAUAAGGAUCGGCUAACUCCGUGCCAGCAGCCGCCGUAA
rnacentral:rRNA from 1 species